AUGAACACACGGUGUUCGCUCACCAGUUCGCCUGCAUUUAAUCAGGAUCAGAUUGUUCGCUCACCAGUUCGCCUGCAUCCACUCGAUGGCGCCUCUCUCGUCGAAGCGUCGCUCGAAGCCGAACUCGCUGAGCCGCAGCUCCGUCCCGUUCCCCUCCAGCAUGGUGAUUGUGGCGUUACGUUUGAUACCUGUAUGAGCCCGGAGCCUCCGGUCCGCGUCUCCUUCUCUGUCUGUCUGUCCUCGUCCUCCCUCACCGGGCUAAUUAUAAAGCCGGUUCGCUGGGGGCGGGGCUUAGAUGAUACACCUGCGUUUUUUUUCUCCACCUGAACUUAAAUGUUUUUAUUCAGUUUCUACUGAACUGUUGUGCUUCUUACUAAUUACUUACUGACUGACUAUUACCAAAGUGUCGGUUCAGCAAAACGAAAAUAUUGAACGAAUGACUGUUCUACUUUGAGAUAUUUUGCCUUAGAGUAUUAUUACUCGUGAAAAGGUUCUACUGAAAAAACAACAUUAAUAUCAUCAUGAAUAUUAACUCUUCCAUUGUUCUGCGCCUGGUGUUCAUUUAUAAACCCAAAGCACUCACAUGAAGAGGGACUCAACUGAAGGUCAAUACCUCACACUGAGAGUGGAUGUUUCUGACAGACAUGAAACUCUUAUUCAUCUUCAGCUCGGGCUCCAUGUGUGUAAGCAGUAGUAUUCUGAUAUGUUAUUGUAGUAGUACCACUGUGUAGAAAUACAUUAUUAAGUAUAUAUAUAUAUAUAUAUAUAUAUAUAUAUAUAUAUAUAUAUGUGUGUGUGUCAGUCCGUCCCUCAACUCGGUUCCUACUGAUCCUAUAAAUUAUAUAUGUAUAUAUAUAUAAUGUAUACACAAAUUAAAAUACAAAUCAACAAAGAGACAUUGAGCAGAAUAAGUUCACGCUGUUACCAUUAUUAGGAUUUAUUUCAUUAUUUGACAGUCGGUCCCCUCUGACGUCUUCUGACGUGACCGUUACGUCACCACAGCGAUGCGGAAGUCGAAGUCACCGUGGAGAACGUAAACUGAUGUCAACCACCCGCCGAAAAACAACACCGAGAAGAGGUGCUCGAGAGAGAGAGGAGAGGAGGAGAAGGAGAGGAGGAGGAGGAGGAGAACACGGAGGAGGAAGAGAAGAAGUAACGUUAGUUACGGAGCGGAGCUCCGCCGGCAUGUAACGUAACUCCGCUAGCCGUUACUCCCGGUCACUUGACCCGUAACAGGCCGUCGGUUCGCCCGGUAGUGAAGCCGUCGCCGAUGAAUGGACCCCCCGGGUGACGGUAGGAAGCGGCCAGCUAACGUAUCGUCGCGUUCGGGGUAAGUGCGGAACUCCUUUGGUGAAACGCACCGCUGUAAACCGUCGGGGAUGUUAGCUAGUUUGUAUAAACGCUCCUCUGUACUUUAACAUCUGUAUCGAUUGAUUGGCGUCUCCUCCUCCCUUCGGCGUGCGUCCUUUAGCAACAUGUGCACCGCGAGCAAAGCGUCUCCUAACGGGGGGGCUUCGCACGAGAACCACCGGGAGAGGACGGCUCUUCCGUGUGCCCUCGAGCAAGCUUUACGCUUGUGUUCCAGCGUUCAAACUGCUAAGACAAACUGGUGAAGAGGUCCGAAGUGACCGUGUGUAUCAGUCAGGGUGAAGGAGAGGGACGCGUCGGAUCGAUACUGAUUAUUGGAAACAAGAAGCUCCUACAGACAGAAAGCUUUUGAUUAAAGAGCUCCGGUUUGUUCCUUUGUUCUUUGAUCACAUCUUUUAUCUCAUGAGAAUGAAGAAGCUGCAAUAACCACAUUAUGUUCAGUAUUGAUGAUAUAUUGAUGAUAUCAGUCUUUAAUAUUGACAGUGUUUACCAAACAAUAUCACGGUAAGUUGACGCCCUCAAAUAGAUAUUUUUACUGUUUUAUUUAAUUGCAACAAGUCAGGUGCUCAGUUAUACAUUUUAUUAAUCUAGAGGAAGAAGAGACACCGAUUUCGCACAUCGAGACGGGCCAAUGAAUAGAUUGAUCAAGGGAAUUUUAAUAGGUUAAUUCAAAAUUCAAUUAAUUGUUGUUUGCAAAGCAAAUGAGGGAAAUAUUUUAAAUUGUGGAAUCAGAAACCAUAACAUAUUAUCUGAAAUCCAAAUGCCAAAUUCUCAGUUUGUAAUAAUAUAUAUAUAUAUAUAUAUAUAAUAUAUAACAAUAUUAUUUUUGUCUCACUGAAGACACGAUUGUUUUAUUUAGAAAAAACAACAACAAUAAUACUUCAAUUUUUGUAAAGAUUCAUAUAAAACCAGCAGUGUGUCAGUCCGUCCCUCAACUCGGUCUGACUUCCUGUCUCAACUCCAAGCUCAUUGGUUCCUACUGAUCCUUAAAAUCACAUAUUAUCAGUAAUUCACUGUUCAUAAUAAUCACUCUUUGGUGCUCUCGUCAGUAUUAUGAUGAGUAUGAGUAAUAUGAUGUAGCUUAAAAUAAUUUUCUCUCGUUUUCAUAUUCUUUUUUUCAUUCAUUCCUAUUUUUCAUAUGGUUUGAUAAUAUUUUUUUUAAAAGAAAUUCCACAUAUUUUACUUAAUAAAUAUAUAAUUAUAAGUGAGUAAAUGUACAAAUUGUAGUUAUAUAUAUGAAAAAAAUGUGUCCGGCUGUGACACGCACAUGAUUCUUUUAUAUUUAACUUUAUCAAAAUAAAACACACAAACACAGGAGUUCAUAUAUUAUAAACUCUCCUCCUCUCCUCUUUAGACUUCCUGUCGUUGGCCCACGUGACUCCGCCUCCUGUAACUGAGGUGGUGCAACACACAGACAUACACACACACACACACACACACACACACACACACACACACACACACACACACACACACACUGAGCAUAGUGAGUGACUAAUGGACAGAGCCACAUCCUUGAGCAGGGACCAGUCCAUCACAUGUCAUUUAUCUGACGCUUUUAUCCAAAGCGACUUACAUCAAGUACAUCUCAACCAUAAGGAAACAAACUCAGAAGAAAAAAAAAACAAGAAAGUGCAAUUUCAUCCAGGGAGCUGAUGUACAACUGUAGAUAAGAACCAUUAUAAGUCCAAUGUAAGUGCUACAGUUAGUUAGUGUGUUAGUGGAGGUAGAGUGUGAAGAGGUGUGUCUUUAGUCUGAAGAUGUGAAGGCUCUCUGUGGUCCUGAUGUCUUCAGAGACCUCCUUCCACCAUUUAGGAGCAGGACAGCAAAGAGUGGAGAUCUAGUCGAGUGUUUUGCUCUCAGUGAGGAGGAACAAGCAGUUUAUCACAUGCAGAGCGGAGAGUGCGGGUCGGGAUGUCGGGUUGGACCAGGUCCUGGAUGGAAGCUGGACCCCGUCCAUUCACAGCAUGGUACGUGAGCACCAUGUUUAGAACUGGCUGAGCCACCGGUACCAGUGAAGAGAGCGGAGGAGUGGAGGAGUGUGGGAGAACUUAGGGAGGUUAAAGACCACUGGAGCUGCUGCAUUCGGGAUGAGCUGCAGAGGUGGAAUGGAGGUAGCAGGAGACCUGCAGGAGAGAGUUACAGUAGUCCAGGAGGGAGAUGACAAGAGCCUGAAUCAGUACCUCCUUCUGAGUGAGAAGAGAACGUGUUCUCCUGAUGUUGUAGAGCGAGUAUCUACAGGAUGGUGUUGUCAGUGAUGUUGGAGUCAGGGAGAGUCGGCUGUCGAUGUCACGCCGAGGUUCCUGCAGUCAAAGUGGACGUUAACACGGAGUCUCAAAGUUAACAGUCAGGUCCUGUGUAGGAGAAUCUUUUCCCAGAAAGAGAAGUAGUUCAGUCUUGUCGGGGUUGAUUUUCAGAUGGUGGGCG
ensembl:lncRNA